rnacentral:rRNA from 1 species
UACGUAGGGUGCGAGCGUUAAUCGGAAUUACUGGGCGUAAAGCGUGCGCAGGCGGUUUUGUAAGCCAGAUGUGAAAUCCCCGGGCUUAACCUGGGAAUGGCAUUUGGGACUGCAAGGCUGGAGUGCGGCAGAGGAGACUGGAAUUCCUGGUGUAGCAGUGAAAUGCGUAGAUAUCAGGAGGAAUACCGAUGACGAAGGCAGGUCUCUGGGCUGACACUGACGCUCAUGCACGAAAGCGUGGGGAGCAAACAGG